GGAAGACGCAACUAGUGGCAUUUGCCCAAAAGUACAACCGGUGGGAAUUUUUCCAGAAACAAUAAGUGGAAUUUGGAAAAUGUGCUUGGGAGAAUGAACAAGACCUGUGAAAUGAAAUACAAAAUGAUGGACAGCCCUUUGGGGAAGAUCGAGAUCUCUGGCUGUGAGCAGGGUCUGCACGGGAUAAAGCUGCACGGCCAGAAGAUCCCAGACACUGACCCCGUGGAGGCCCCCGCCCCUCCUGAGCGGCUCGCAGGUCCAGAGGAGGUGACGGAGCCCCUGGCGCAGUGUGUGGCUUGGCUGGCUGCCUAUUUCCAUGAGCCCGCGGCCCUCGAGGAGCUCCCCGUGCCUGCCCUUCACCAUCCCAGUUUCCAGCAAGAUUCGUUCACCAGACGGGCGCUAUGGAAGCUGCUGAAGGCUGUGAAAUUCGGAGAAACGAUUUCUUACCAGCAAUUAGCGGCCCUGGCGGGCAACCCCAAAGCAGCGCGGGCCGUGGGAGAGGCAAUGAGAAGCAAUCCUACCAUCUGUGGAGCAGAGUACAACGAUGAUUAUCUCAGCCUGAGGAAAUCGCUCUGCCCCUCUGUGCACCUCUCCAGUCCUGCACUCUCAGAGGGUGGACCCGCUUCCUGGUCUCUGGUCUCCUGCCACUAUGUCGGCCUCAACUCUACUUCCACGUGGCCUUGUGACGCCAGUACCCGCAGUACAUCCAGCCUCAGUGUCCUAGGACAACUGGAUUGUCUCCAAACGAGGUGCUCUUGCCUUCCUCACCAGCAGCAAGAGGCAGGGUGAAUGUCCUUCUAGUCUUACUGAUUUGCAAAAGCUCAUUGCAUACUGAGAAGAUAAACCCUGUGUGGCAGGACCCUUUCUGUCUCCCCUGGUGGCUGCAGCCCCACGCCAGCCUGGGUUCUGCUGGCCCCACAGUCGUGGAAGAAGGCAGUGAACAGCUUGGUCCCUUGUAGGAGGGCGCGUGUCAGGGCCCAGGCGAGCGGCUCGGAGAGGCAGCCCCUGCCACGCCCCUGAGCAGGCAUCUCCGGCACCGGCUCAGGGUGGGGAAGGAGAACCAGUACUUAAGAUGACAUUUGUGAGUACUAAUUUGGAUCACACUUACGUGUAUGUGUUGGAGAGAGCUGCAAGCCAAAACAUGCAAAACCAGCCCUUCGUUGAGGAGCACAUGAAAGCUACAGAAUGAAACGGAGUGGGGCCGCUGGAAAGGCACAGGAGCCAGGCAGAGCUGCGAGAAUCAGAGCCCAGAUUUGAUUUCUGCUGCAGUUUGCAAAACGUUUGCUGUGCUGUGUCUGCAAAGGGAAAAAAAAAAAACAAAAAACCACCCUCUUGGUCUCACCGCAGGUUUGGCACUAACAGGUACAGUGUCUGAAGGAGGUCAUUCCAGUUUAAAAAGUACAGACAGUGCUGCUGGGUUCUGACCACAAAAAACGUAUUGUUAAAAAGGAAUUUUAAACGAGGGGUGAUUGUGGGUCCCCUGAAACCUCUCUGAAUCGGAGGUGGGCUUGGGAGGACACAGGACACAGCAGAACCAGAUGCAGAAAGGAGUGACACAGGGGUCUCCGGGCUUGUGCGUGUGUGUGUUUUACACCGUAAAUCUCCAAAUGAAAUACUGAUUAACAAUUGUGGGGUAAGCCUGUGAUCAAAUAGCACAAAGGUUCUUUAAAGAAGUCCACUUUUAAGGCAUCAGAGAAGUUAAUGUGGCAAACGUUUUAAUUAAAACAUCAGAAGUAAAUUUUAUUUUAAACUUUAGGCCUCUGAAUUUUUCCAGUAAACACAGUUCAGCUAUGUGGCAAAGUCAUGGGUGGCAGCUAAAAUGACUUUUUACAUUCUACAAAAAAAAAUAAAAGGAGGACACAGCCCCAAACGGUGUCGCCUCUUCGUGGCCACUCCACAUGCACGGAAUCUACGAGGGUUUGUCAGCGGGUGGCACCGUUUUGUUGUGACUAUACAACGAACUUUUUUUUUUUCUUCAAAAGUAUUUGUUCAGAUAACUUAAAAAUAAUAUAAAAAUAAACAAUGAAUUUGA